CGGGGUGAGUAAUGUCUGGGAAACUGCCUGAUGGAGGGGGAUAACUACUGGAAACGGCAGCUAAUACCGCAUAACGUCGCAAGACCAAAGAGGGGGACCUUCGGGCCUCUUGCCAUCGGAUGUGCCCAGAUGGGAUUAGCUAGUAGGUGGGGUAACGGCUCACCUAGGCGACGAUCCCUAGCUGGUCUGAGAGGAUGGCCAGCCACACUGGAACUGAGACACGGUCCAG
rnacentral:rRNA from 1 species